UCGAGAAUCUUCGGCAAUGGGCGCAAGCCUGACCGAGCGACGCCGCGUGCGGGAUGAAGGCCCUUGGGUUGUAAGCCGCUGUCAGGGGGGAGCAAGGCGUAAGCUUGAGCGAGCCCCAGAGGAAGCACGGGCUAAGUUCGUGCCAGCAGCCGCGGUAAUACGAACUGUGCGAACGUUAUUCGGAAUCACUGGGCUUACAGGGUGCGUAGGCGGCCUAUCAAGUCAGGUGUGAAAUCCCACAGCUCAACUGUGGAACUGCGCUUGAAACUGAUGGGCUUGAGUCAACUAGAGGUACACGGAACUUCCGGUGGAGCGGUGAAAUGUGUUGAUAUCGGAAGGAACACCAGAGGCGAAAGCGGUGUACUGGAGUUGGUCUGACGCUGAGGCACGAAAGCCAGGGGAGCGAACGG
rnacentral:rRNA from 1 species